rnacentral:rRNA from 1 species
GCCGCACAAGAUAAGCUAGCCACAUCGUUCAUUCUAGAAACUCAGGGAGGGCAUUGCAUUACACACUCGCGCACCUCACAACACCCCUCCAUCCACCUUUUGCCAGCGUGAGAGCUUCUUCUUUCUUGCGAGGGAGAGGUCAGCGAGCAACCAGGGAGCUAGGCGUCAAUGGCGACCAUAGCCACGAUGACCAUGCUCAAGCCCGCCAAGAUCACGGCCAGGUCGGCGCCUUCCUCGCCGUCGUUCAGCGCCAAGGUGGCGUCGCCGAGCAUCUCGCUGCGCAGCCUGCAGAAGAACGCGGCCAAGAAGGGAGCCCUGGCCGUGUCGCCGGCGGCCGCGGCCAUGGCGAGCGCCUUCUUCACCUCGCUGGCCUCGUCGGACGCCGCGAUGGCGUCGCAGCGGAUCGCGGACGUGGCGGCGGUGGCGCCCGCGGACGACAACCGGGGCCUGCUGCUGCUCUUCGUGGUGGCGCCCGCGCUCGGGUGGGUGCUCUACAACAUCCUCCAGCCGGCGCUGAACCAGCUCAAUAAGAUGCGGUCCGAGAAGGCGCUCGUCGCCGGGCUCGGCAUCAGCGCCGCCGCGGCCGCCGGCCUGGCCGCCGCGCCGGAGCCGGCCUCCGCCGCCGUGCAGGAGCUCGCCGCGCUGGCGGCGGUAGCGCCCGCCGACGACAACCGGGGCCUGCUGCUGCUCUUCGUGGUGGCGCCCGCCCUCGGAUGGGUGCUCUACAACAUCCUGCAGCCGGCGCUGAACCAGCUCAACAAAAUGCGGUCCAACUGAGCGUCGUCGUCGUCGUGGCAUCGCAUGCGGUCCGGCCGAGUGGGUUCGUAUGUGUGUGUUCGUCUAUUAAGAGUCGUGGUAGUAGCGUGGAACGUGGUGUGAGUGCCUGCUUGCAUACUCUCUAAUCUUGUUCCUUCCAUUGAUCAAAUGCAGUACAGCUCUUCUUGUUUUCUCUUCUGCUACGUUCAGUCCAAUGUUCUCUUCUGCUACGUUGCAUGCUGGAUUGGGUUUCUAGGGCAACUCUAAUCAAUCCUGUAAAAAUAAAGGAGGAUCCUUAGCCAAGUGUUUUUUUUUUACUUCAGAUUUGGCCGGUCCGAGCCGAUCGGCAAUAUAUAACGGAGUUACUUUUCUGGUUUAUGCAUUUCGUGGAACAGUAAUGCUACACGUACAAAUGAGUUACGGAGUUUUACAAAGAAAGUUAAUUUGAUGGGUCAAUAGAUAGGGAGGCGGUCCACCCCUCCUGAAAAUCAGGAGGAAGCAAGUUUGUGAUUGGUUAGUAGAUGAAAAAAGUUCGUAAACUCAUGUAUUUGUUUGUAUGUCUAUCAUUUUUUUU